rnacentral:rRNA from 1 species
CCUACGGGUGGCUGCAGUGGGGAAUAUUGCACAAUGGGCGCAAGCCUGAUGCAGCCAUGCCGCGUGUGUGAAGAAGGCCUUCGGGUUGUAAAGCACUUUCAGCGGGGAGGAAGGCGGUGAGGUUAAUAACCUCAUCGAUUGACGUUACCCGCAGAAGAAGCACCGGCUAACUCCGUGCCAGCAGCCGCGGUAAUACGGAGGGUGCAAGCGUUAAUCGGAAUUACUGGGCGUAAAGCGCACGCAGGCGGUCUGUCAAGUCGGAUGUGAAAUCCCCGGGCUCAACCUGGGAACUGCAUUCGGAACUGGCAGGCUAGAGUCCUGUAGAGGGGGGUAGAAUUCCAGGUGUAGCGGUGAAAUGCGUAGAGAUCUGGAGGAAUACCGGUGGCGAAGGCGGCCCCCUGGACAAAGACUGACGCUCAGGUGCGAAAGCGUGGGGAGCAAACAGGAUUAGAUACCCCGGUAGUC